CUACGGGAGGCUGCAGUGGGGAAUUUUGGACAAUGGGCGCAAGCCUGAUCCAGCCAUUCCGCGUGAGUGAAGAAGGCCUUCGGGUUGUAAAGCUCUUUCGCAAGGGAAGAACACUUAGCUACUAAUAUUAGCUGAGGUUGACGGUACCUUGAUAAGAAGCACCGGCUAACUACGUGCCAGCAGCCGCGGUAAUACGUAGGGUGCGAGCGUUAAUCGGAAUUACUGGGCGUAAAGCGUGCGCAGGCUGUUUUGUAAGUCAGAUGUGAAAUCCCCGAGCUCAACUUGGGAACUGCGUUUGAAACUACAAGACUAGAAUAUGUCAGAGGGGGGUAGAAUUCCACGUGUAGCAGUGAAAUGCGUAGAGAUGUGGAGGAAUACCAAUGGCGAAGGCAGCCCCCUGGGAUAAUAUUGACGCUCAUGCACGAAAGCGUGGGGAGCAAACAGGAUUAGAUACCCGUGUAGUC
rnacentral:rRNA from 1 species